AUUCCAGCUCCAAUAGCGUAUAUUAAUGUUGUUGCAGUUAAAAAGCUCGUAGUUGGAUUUCUGCGCCGCGCAACUCGGUCCGCUGCACUGCAGUGUGAUGUGUGGUUGGAGCGUCGCAUCCUUGUGGGGACUGUUUGUGUCAUUAAUUUGAUGGAUUCCGGAACCGCAUCGUUUACUGUGAAAAAAUUAGAGUGUUCAAAGCAGGCUUAUGCCGUGAAUACAUUAGCAUGGAAUAACGAAUGGGUCUACAAUUUGGUUGAUUGUAGAUUGCGAUUAAUAGGGACAGUUGGGGGCAUUAGUAUUUAAUUGUCAGAGGUGAAAUUCUUGGAUUAGUUAAAGACUAACGUAUGCGAAAGCAUUUGCCAAGGAUGUUUUCAUCA
rnacentral:rRNA from 1 species